rnacentral:rRNA from 1 species
GACGAACGCUGGCGGCGUGCCUAACACAUGCAAGUCGAACGAAGUUUUUAUGGAAUGCGACUUCGGUCAAAUGAAGUUUAAACUUAGUGGCGGACGGGUGAGUAACGCGUGAGCAACCUGCCCUAUAUUGCGGGAUAACAACCGGAAACAGUUGCUAAUACCGCAUGACGUAUUCGGAUCGCAUGUUCUGAAUACCAAAGAAUUUUGAUAUAGGAUGGGCUCGCGUCCGAUUAGGCAGUUGGUGGGGUAACGGCCCACCAAACCGACGAUCGGUAGCCGAACUGAGAGAGUGAUCGGCCACAUUGGAACUGAGACACGGUCCAGACUCCUACGGGGAGGCAGCAGUGAGGAAUAGUUGGUACAAGUGGGGACGAAAGCCUGACCCAGCGACGCCGCGUGGAGGGAAGAAGGUCUUCGGAUUACGUAAACCUCUUUCAGCGAAGGGAAGAAG